rnacentral:lncRNA from 1 species
UCUUAUUUGCAGAAAGCCAAAUGUCACUGAAGCAGAAUAUCAAUCAGACAAACAAGAGGAAACCAAACUGAUUGCUUUCUAAAAACAUGUCGAUUUAGUCAGUUCUCUGGAUUCGGAGAGGAAUCUCCGUCUCUCUCUCUUGAUCUCUUCGCCAUCCUUCUGUUUGCACGUACUAGUCAGUGAGUGGGAGUCGCACCUUUGGUUGAUACUGUGUUAAACAUCUGAUUGUCAUAAACUCAUACACAUGCCGAUACACUAUACCGUUUGCAUGGAUUGCGUCUCUUUUCUAUUAGGCAAGUAUGUCUGAACCGUUAUCUGAAAAAACAACGGAAUACAUAAAUAGCUUUUGUGUAAUCGAACCAGUGUAUAAUAAAUGAAUCAAACAUGACAUCCAUAAAUGAUACUAAAAUGUAUAUAUUGUGGGCCAUUGAUUAGAAUUAUAAUUUUACGGUAGAAUUUAGUCGGUAGAUUUUUUGGAUAGAAUUGUAUCUAAUGUACCUGUAGAAAUUAAGUAAAAAAAAGAAAGAUGUUCUUACAUCAAUUUGUCUUUUUGCUUUAGAAAUUAAGUAAAAAAAAAGAAAGAUGUUUCUUUCUUUUUUGGCUUAAGUUUUAAAACUACAUAUUAUGAUUCAUAAUUUUUAUUGUUAUAGAUAAAAAUUAAAACUAAAGACACUUGCUGGAACCCAACCAGUUCCAUUAUUGUCUUUGAUUCAUAAUGUAUGUAGUUUUACUUCGAAACACAUAUUAAUAAUAUAUUUUCUCCAAACAAUUAUCAUUAAAGUUAUAGAUUAAAAUUAAUUUCUUUGAUUAUAAAAGCCAGUAUAAAUACGAUUGUCUACACAAUUUUGAUAAAUUUAAAGUUAUAAAACAUGUUAUAUUAUGAAACAACAUUUUUUUUAAAACAUCUUAUAUUUUGAAAUGGAAAAAGAAUAAAAAUGAUCUUUAUUCAAAAAAUAAAAAAAUAAUAAAAAUGAUCAAUUUUCUGAUAUGGUCCUCUAAGGAACUGAAAUAAUCUAUAUGCAUCCUCAUAUCUAUUUUUAUUCUAUAUUAAAUUUAAAUUUAAAUUGAAAAUGAAGUAAAAUAUCCAAAACCUUAAGAAUUUAAACAUAAUUACAAGCCCGACUACUCAUCCUAUCCAUAACAUGACCUAAGAAUUGACUCGAAACCGACCCAAACUAACUAUAAAUCGCAAAAUCUCAUCCCAAAUUUCUCCCAUUUCGGGACUACUUCAAACACGAUCUUCGUCUCUCUGUCAAACGACGAUCUUCAACCGUCCUCAACAACAACGCCCUUGAACCAAAUCACCAGAUUACAAUACUGAGAAAUGACUUACCAAGAUAAAAAAGAAGAAGGGCGAUACGCUGCCAAAGAAGAUCGAUUCUCCAAAGAAGAAAAAGAACGAGUUGUUGGGAAAAAAGAAACUAGUUAU